GACGUAGGAUGCAAGCGUUGUCCGGAAUUAUUGGGCGUAAAGAGUUCGUAGGCGGUUAUCUAAGUCUGGUGUUAAAUACUGGAGCUCAACUCCGGCAUGGCAUUGGAAACUGGAUAGCUAGAGUGCGGUAGAGGUCACGGGAAUUCCAGGUGUAGCGGUGAAAUGCGUAGAUAUCUGGAGGAACACCAGUGGCGAAAGCGUGUGACUGGGCCGCAACUGACGCUGAGGAACGAAAGCCAGGGGAGCGAAAGGG
rnacentral:rRNA from 1 species